UAUAUAUAUAUAAUGUAAUAUUUUGUUUUUUGUGUUAAUGUUAAUAUAAAUAAAUUCUUAAUAUAAAUAA